CGCACCAGUGGACCGGGGUGCCUCUUUUUGCCGCUUCCGUGUGGUUUUCCGUGCGGAUCCCACUGCUUCUGUUAACGAGAAAACGUUUUGAGAAGCCGUGCCUGCUUCCACGCAUGCGUGGAGUCAGCUGGCGAAAAAGCAGUACCUCCGGCGAGGGGCCGGCGUGCAUGCGCUGUAGUGGUGUGUCGCCCUAUGCCGCCACCUGCUGCUGGAAACGUGACACUGCAGGCGGAGCGGCUGGGUCAGGGAAAGCCCCGGGCGGGGGUUGGGGAGGGGCGUCGGGCUGCAGGUCAGGGAGCCGGGGGCUGGCUCCGGGGCAUCCGCAGCGUCAGGUGACCUGAGGGUCUUGCCCCACAGCAUGCUGGGAGUCGUGGUCUUCGGGUUUUGAGCUUCCUGUCGGCCAUGUUGGUGUCCAUGGCAUGCCGGGAAAUGUAGUGUUUCACAUUCCUGUUCAGCUUCCUAGCUGGGAAGGGCACGUUGCUCAGGGCACUUAUUUCCUCCCCGAGAUGACGUGGGGUGCGUUUUUCUGCCGUUUUCAUCUGUGGUUUUCCACGCGGUUCGCACUGUUUCCAUUAUUGAGAAAACGGUUUGGGAAGCUGUGUCUGCCGUUCUCAGGAUGAGGGCGGUAGCGCCCUCUGCCACCACCUGCUGGCGAAAAAAAUCAGUAACGCAGGCGGAGCCAUGUAGGACUUCUCAGAGGUAAGAAGCCUUCAAUGUAUGGGGACCCCUAAACUUGUGUGCCAAGCCCGCAAGACAAAUGUCCGUGGCACGAAGAUCAAGGACGACUUCUCAGAGGUGAUUCGGACAGGGUGCCGGGUGGGGCCUAAUGGUAUAUGAGCAGCAGGUGUCCUAUAUGAGAGCUCAUUCUGCCUGAGCUGCUCUUUGGGGCAGUAGGUAAACCUUAGGAGGAACCAGUCAAAGGAAACAGCACUUUCUGGAACUGUCAAGUUCUUGUUCGGCAACUCGGUGACUGGUUUGAUCUACUUUUCAGAUGUAGAGGCAAGCGGACUGUUGUCUUGAAAUGAUAAAAUUAAAAACAUGAAGUUUGUCAAAUGUGGCAGUGCCUGUUUACAGUCUGUUUAUUGCUUUUGCCAGUGGUAGAUAACACUUACAAGGAAUCGGUCAAAGGAAAGAGUACCUUCUGGAACUGUGAAGCUCUGCAUUGGCAACUCAGUGAC